rnacentral:rRNA from 1 species
CCAGCACCUGCGGUAAUUCCAGCUCCACUAGCGUAUAUUAAAGUUGUUGCAGUUAAAAAGCUCGUAGUUGAACUUCUGAUUGUUGCUAGUGUCGGUAUUUAUAUCGCGCUAGUGGCAGUCAUCCGUCUGCAAACUUUUACAUCCUUAACUGGUUUGUCUAAGGGAGCAGGCAUUUUACUUUGAAAAAAUUAGAGUGUUUAAGGCAGGCGCAAGCCUGAAUACAUUAGCAUGGAAUAAUGGAAUAGGACGCUUGUCCAUUUGAUUGGUUAUUGGACUCGCGUAAUGAUUAAUAGGGACAGUUGGGGGCAUUAGUAUUCAAACGACAGAGGUGAAAUUCUUGGACCGUUUGAAGACAAACUACUGCGAAAGCAUUUGCCAAGAAUGUUUUCAUUAAUCAAGAACGAAAGU